UGGGGAAUAUUGGACAAUGGGCGAAAGCCUGAUCCAGCCAUGCCGCGUGUGUGAAGAAGGUCUUCGGAUUGUAAAGCACUUUAAGUUGGGAGGAAGGGCAGUAACCUAAUACGUUGCUGUCUUGACGUUACCGACAGAAUAAGCACCGGCUAACUCUGUGCCAGCAGCCGCGGUAAUACAGAGGGUGCAAGCGCUAAUCGGAAUUACUGGGCGUAAAGCGCGCGUAGGUGGUUUGUUAAGUUGGAUGUGAAAUCCCCGGGCUCAACCUGGGAACUGCAUUCAAAACUGACAAGCUAGAGUAUGGUAGAGGGUGGUGGAAUUUCCUGUGUAGCGGUGAAAUGCGUAGAUAUAGGAAGGAACACCAGUGGCGAAGGCGACCACCUGGACUGAUACUGACACUGAGGUGCGAAAGCGUGGGGAGCAAACAGGAUUAGAUACCCACGUAGUCCCUGAGCGGGCUGGCAAGGCGCAU
rnacentral:rRNA from 1 species